UGCAUGUCGCACGGUCACAGGAAGCAGCUUGCUUCUUCGCUGACGAGUGGCGGACGGGUGAGUAAUGUCUGGGAAACUGCCUGAUGGAGGGGGAUAACUACUGGAAACGGUAGCUAAUACCGCAUAACGUCGCAAGACCAAAGAGGGGGACCUUCGGGCCUCUUGCCAUCGGAUGUGCCCAGAUGGGAUUAGCUUGUAGGUGGGGUAACGGCUCACCUAGGCGACGAUCCCUAGCUGGUCUGAGAGGAUGACCAGCCACACUGGAACUGAGACACGGUCCAGACUCCUACGGGAGGCAGCAGUGGGGAAUAUUGCACAAUGGGCGCAAGCCUGAUGCACCCAUGCCGCGUGUAUGAAGAAGGCCUUCGGGUUGUAAAGUACUUUCAGCGGGGAGGAAGGGAGUAAAGUUAAUACCUUUGCUCAUUGACGUUACCCGCAAAAGAAGCACCGGCUAACUCCGUGCCAGCUUAAUAA
rnacentral:rRNA from 1 species